AGGGGGAGGGUGGCCGAACCCCCCCGGGGCGUGCAAGGGUCGUGUUUUAUGGGCAAAAACACGUGGAUUUGAGUGGGAUCCAAGAGGUUAGCGCACGCCCCUAGGCAAGACGUAGCGGUUGGCUCAGUCGGAUGAUGUUUCCCUGUAACCAUCACCGUAAACCGGUCCUUUAGUAUCCGUACGGGGAUCUGGGUCUGAGGUGUAUUGCAUGAGGUGUAGCACCAUGAAAUUGACGAUUUGAGCUCCGCCGCGCAAGAACGUGUUAAUCCGGUGUCGUCCACGAUACUUGGGAGCCGUUGCCCUGGUCAUGUAAAUGUUCCCAGUCGGUAUGAUUCCCCAAAAAGGUGAUUGCCGCGUUACGUUUUCGUGUUCCAUGUGGGCUGCUUCUCCUCAGUCGCUCUGGGUGGUCAUCCAUGUUAACCACGGAUAAUGCGCUUAUCCGGUGUCGUCCACAAUACUUGGGAGUCGCUGCCCUGGUCCCGUGAACGUUCCCAGUCGGUAUGAUUCCCCAAAAAGGUGAUUGCCGCGUUACAUUUUCGUGUUCCAUAUGGGCUGCUUCUCCUCAGUCGCUCUGGGUGGUCAUCCGCGGUAGGCACAUUCCGUCGCCUCUAGUCCCUUCAGAGAAAUGUUGCCCCAAGACGGUAUCGUUAUUGGUGUAACACCCGCGCGUCGUGGACACUCAGGACGCCUUCGUGCAGGCCAUUCCCCCGUGCUAUGCGUGGGGGGAGGCUUGGUUGGCUUGACCGAUGUGGAUACGCGAGCGGAUGAGUAGCUUUGGACCCGUGUCUGUUGUUAGAUCCCCCGUCCUCGUGCGGCCGACUAGCGACGCCGUGUCCCGUCAUUCGUGUGGCUUAUGUUACUGUUGCCUUUCAAGUGCUUG
rnacentral:misc_RNA from 1 species